UAUUGGAGCGGCCGAUGUCAGAUUAGCUAGUUGGUGGGGUAAAAGCCUACCAAGGCGACGAUCUGUAGCUGGUCUGAGAGGACGACCAGCCACACUGGGACUGAGACACGGCCCAGACUCCUACGGGAGGCAGCAGUGGGGAAUUUUGGACAAUGGGGGCAACCCUGAUCCAGCCAUGCCGCGUGCGGGAAGAAGGCCUUCGGGUUGUAAACCGCUUUUGUCAGGGAAGAAACGGU
rnacentral:rRNA from 1 species